ACAAUGAGAACAUAUGGUCACAGGGAGGGGAGUAUCACACACUGAGGCCUGUCGGGGGCUGGGGGGCAAGGGGAAGGAUAGCAUUAGGAGAAAUAUCUAAUGUAGAUUACGAUGGGUGCCCUAUCAAGUUUCUAAAUCACAUUAGGAAAAGCAUUUUACUGCCUUAUCUACCCUUUAUCCCAACACUUAGCACAAUGUCUUCCAAAGGGCAGUGGCUCAAUA
rnacentral:lncRNA from 1 species